GUUUGCACUUGUCGGGGAAGGGUGAGAACCUUCGAUUAAGGUUCGACUCGAGCGAAAGCGAGAGAACGUUGCCAACGGCAACGGCCCGUAGGGUGAGGAGCGAAGCGACGAAUAAUCCUUCCCCC
rnacentral:sRNA from 1 species